rnacentral:rRNA from 1 species
CGUAGCAAGCUUAACCGCAUAGGGAAGGCGAAGGGAAACCGAGUCUGAAUAGGGCGUAAAGUUGCGAGCUGUAGACCCGAAACCGGACGAUCUAGCCAUGGCCAGGGUGAAGGUGCGGUAACACGUACUGGAGGCCCGAACCCACGUCUGUUGAAAAAGACGGGGAUGAGUUGUGGCUAGGAGUGAAAAGCUAAUCGAGUUCGGAGAUAGCUGGUUCUCCCCGAAAGCUAUUUAGGUAGCGCCUCGAGUAUUACUUCUGGGGGUAGAGCACUGUUAUGGCUAGGGGGGUCAUAGCGACUUACCAAACCAUGGCAAACUCCGAAUACCAGAACGUAUCAGCUCGGGAGACACACGGCGGGUGCUAACGUCCGUCGUGAAGAGGAAUACAAUCCAGACCGCCAGCUAAGGUCCCAAAAUUAUCGCUAAGUGGGAAACGAUGUGGGAAGGCAUAGACAGCCAGGAGGUUGGCUUAGAAGCAGCCACCCUUUAAAGAAAGCGUAAUAGCUCACUGGUCGAGUC